rnacentral:lncRNA from 1 species
ACUUUUGGAAGUCUCCGAGGAGCUGAGCCUGUCUGGAGAAGCACCUGAAGAUGUCAAGAUGUCCAUGUGUCAAAAUGGCCUUACCACGAUAUUGUUCUUACAGCCAACUGGACGUGUUAAUGGGAGGCGGCCCUACUGACAACAGUUCAAGUUGAAGCAAGUGAGUCCAGACUUAGGUCAAUGAGCUUUUGCUCUUUGUCCACCUUUGACGUUGCCUCCUGGGUGAGCUGCUGUCUCUGAGGUCUGGAGAAUCUGUUUUCCUCCCGUGGCAGCUGCCUGGCGAUCUGACUGCGAUUUUUCUAAUGCUGUGGUCAUCUGAGUUACUCCCUGCUGCAUCACACUGCGGUGCCUACUACCUGGGAAACCCACAAUGAUUAGCGUGUGAGCAGAACAAAUUCUCUUCUGAGCUCAUGCAAGAUGGCUCUGCUUUUCCACGACAAGCAAUAACUUUUGAGUAAGCAAGGGCACGGUGUACUCUGAGCCACUUACUGCCUGGUGUUGAAGAUAAAACAAAGCAAGUGAACUGCGACCCUGAUUAUAGGAGUCUGUCCACAGCCCCAUCAAGUUCGCCAUGCAUACUUCAAAUCAUCUGUCGACUCAGAAUGACUUCCUCCUACGAGGAGUCCAUCAACCUAAUGAGUCAUUUUAAAACAAUUCCCAACUGUGUGUUUUCUAAGUGUUAAGAGCGCAUAAACACUGUGCUGAACAGCUCAUGUGCCAUUCGGCACAAAGGUGUCACAGAAAUUUCAUCUUAUCCUUCACUUUCCCGCAGGUACUUAUUUUUGUUUAGAAUUAAUUUACAAGGAACGGAGAGCUUAAAUGGCGUGUUUUUGAGAAGAAAGAGGGAGUAGUCAGUUCUCUGCAUCACUGUGUGUUUCUAGUUCCAAAGCUCUUCAGAGUAUAUGGGGGAUCUGGGGUUUCAGGAGACUCCGGAUCUGCAGAAAUCACGAGCGAGGUCAAAAGGAGCAUGCUUAAGAGAGAAGGUGUAAAGGCUUGCACAGUGCUUGGCCCGUAGUGUUUGGCUACUUUCCUCUGAGUGCUUCUUGGUGUCUUACUGACCGUUUAAGGAUGCUAUGUUCGGAUGCUGUUGGUUCCGACAGCCCUCUGCUUGCCGUGGACUCUUCAUGUUUCCUUUCAUCCCUCCCAUUAGCUAGAGAGACAGGGUCAGCAGUGGGCAAGCCUCAUCUGCAUGGUGUAGCCUCAGGUAGGAAGGAAGUACAUGAAGCUGAGAAGAACCAAACAGGAUGUUCCUCAUACUCUAGUGUUCUCAUCAUUCCUAUCUCUGUGACUCUCUAGUCCAGUUCCUCAUGCUGUGGUGACCAACACCCCAACCCUUUAAACUUAUUUUCCUUGCUAAUUCAUAACUGUAAUUUACUACCUUAUGAAUUGUACUGUAAAUGUCUGUGUUUUCUGAUGGUCUUGGGUGACCUCUGUGGCAGGAGUCAAGACCCCCAGGUUGAGAAGUACUGCUCUAGGGUAAGGCUAUGCUCUGUUCUACCUAUCACGUGCCGUGGCUCAGAUCUCUUUCAGCUGUCAUUGUUUCCUGCCCCUUGCCAUUUCCCCAUCAAAGUUUUAUGCAGUACCCAGACGACCUUGUUUGUCUCCGGGUCUGCAUCUGUGAAGAGAUGAUCAGGUCAACCUUAUUACCCAAGUAUAGAUGCUUAUUGGGAAUAAAUUUCAGCAAAAACACAAGGGAUGUGUAAGAUAGAUCUCCUAAUUUCAUACAAUUGACUGCCUAGGCUUUGAGACCAAAAUAAAAGGAAAACUUGUGAAAGAA